AUUGAACGCUGGCGGAAUGCUUUACACAUGCAAGUCGAACGGCAGCACGGGGGCAACCCUGGUGGCGAGUGGCGAACGGGUGAGUAAUACAUCGGAACGUGCCCAGUCGUGGGGGAUAACGUAGCGAAAGUUACGCUAAAACCGCAUACGAUCUACGGAUGAAAGCGGGGGACCGUAAGGCCUCGCGCGAUUGGAGCGGCCGAUGUCAGAUUAGGGAGGUAGUGAGGAAAAGGCUAACCAAGCCGACGAUCUGUAGCUGGUCUGAGAGGACGAACAGCCACACUGGGACUGAGACACGGCCCAGACUCCUACGGGAGGCCGCAGUGGGGAAAUUUGGACAAGGGGCGCAAGCCUGAUCCAGCCAUUCCGCGUGCAGGACGAAGGCCUUCGGGUUGUAAACUGCUUUUGUACGGAACGAAAAGGCUCUGGUUAAUACCUGGGGCUCAUGACGGUACCGUAAGAAUAAGCACCGGCUAACUACGUGCCAGCCGCCGCAGUAA
rnacentral:rRNA from 1 species